UACGUAGGGCGCAAGCGUUGUCCGGAAUUAUUGGGCGUAAAGAGCUCGUAGGCGGUUUGUUACGUCCGCUGUGAAAACCCAGGGCUUAACCCUGGGCUUGCAGUGGAUACGGGCAGACUAGAGGCAGGUAGGGGAGAAUGGAAUUCCCGGUGUAGCGGUGAAAUGCGCAGAUAUCGGGAGGAACACCGGUGGCGAAGGCGGUUCUCUGGGCCUGACCUGACGCUGAGGAGCGAAAGCGUGGGGAGCGAACAG
rnacentral:rRNA from 1 species